rnacentral:rRNA from 1 species
GUUAGGAAUAUUGGACAAUGGGCGCAAGCCUGAUCCAGCCAUGCCGCGUGAGUGAUGAAGGCCUUCGGGUUGUAAAGCUCUUUAGCCGAUGAUUAUAAUGACUGUAGUCGGAAAAUAAGCCCCGGCUAACUUCGUGCCAGCAGCCGCGGUAAUACGAAGGGGGCGAGCGUUAUUCGGAAUCACUGGGCGUAAAGCGUGCGUAGGCGGCUUUGCAAGUUGGGAGUGAAAGCCCAGGGCUCAACCCUGGAAUUGCUCUCAAAACUGCAAGGCUCGAAUUCGGGAGAGGAUAGCGGAAUUGUCAGUGUAGCAGUGAAAUGCGUAGAUAUUGACAGGAACACCAGUGGCGUAAGCGGCUAUCUGGACCGAUAUUGACGCUGAGGCACGAAAGCGUGGGGAGCAAACAGGAUUAGAUACCCUAGUAGUCC